rnacentral:piRNA from 1 species
AGGGCAACAGGCAGAGGGAGCUUCCAG